rnacentral:rRNA from 1 species
UACGUAGGGAGCAAGCGUUAUCCGGAAUUAUUGGGUGUAAAGGGUGCGUAGACGGGAUAUUAAGUUAGUUGUGAAAUACCUCGGCUUAACUGAGGAACUGCAACUAAAACUGAUAUUCUUGAGUGCAGGAGAGGUAAGUGGAAUUCCUAGUGUAGCGGUGAAAUGCGUAGAUAUUAGGAGGAACACCAGUGGCGAAGGCGACUUACUGGACUGUAACUGACGUUGAGGCACGAAAGUGUGGGGAGCAAACAGG